CAAAAUCGGAAGAAUUGUUUUCGAUGUUGAAGCAAAAUGUUUACGAAAUCGCAAACAUCUUGUUUGCGGCGCAUUUUUCUGAGCGAUCCGCCGCAGCCACCGCAGCUGAUGCGUUACGCUGUCAGAAUCAGCUGGUCGCGCUACCUAAAUUUAAUGUAAACAAACUUCAAAUCGAGCGCAAAGGAAAAAAACAAACAGCAGCGUGUCGCGUCCCGGGAUUAAGAUUAAAAAUGCUGCUCCUAAAGCUGAUGGAAUAACGGAACGAAUCGAGCAGGCGGGUCAGUUUAGUCACUUGGUGUCGGAAGCCGUAUCCGCGCCAUUAAGAACUUUUUCACCGGAAGUGUUACGAGAGCACGGAUUCCAUCAGAACCGCCCUCGUGCCAUCAAACGGAAUCCGAGGAGCGUCGGGAGAUCAACACAGGCCUACUGCUCCGGGUAAAAAUCGUACUGAAGGAAUUGGUAGCACCUGGUUCAUGGACCCGGUUGACCGGUUGACCGAGUUGACCUUUAGAAACUCUCAGCAACGACUUGUGUCCACGAUUUAAGAUGAAAGCCAAUUGAGGUUAUUCAAAAUUGUCCAGAAAGAUUCCGAGAAAGCAGGUGAGUCUUGAUGAAAAAUAAUACAGUAAAACACCGGUGAUUAGAAAUUAUAAUUAAGAC